AGAAACUUAGGAUAAACUAUAAACCGAAGGCCUUCAAAGCCUUAAAUAAGAGUUAAACCCUCUUAGUUUCUG
rnacentral:tRNA from 2 species